rnacentral:rRNA from 1 species
UACGUAGGGCGCAAGCGUUAUCCGGAAUUAUUGGGCGUAAAGAGCUCGUAGGCGGUUUGUCGCGUCUGCCGUGAAAGUCCGGGGCUCAACUCCGGAUCUGCGGUGGGUACGGGCAGACUAGAGUGAUGUAGGGGAGAGUGGAAUUCCUGGUGUAGCGGUGAAAUGCGCAGAUAUCAGGAGGAACACCGAUGGCGAAGGCAGGUCACUGGGCCACUGCUGACGCUGAGGAGCGAAAGCAUGGGGAGCGAACAGG